rnacentral:lncRNA from 1 species
UUUUUUAUAUCUUUUUUGUUAAAUUUAUUUUUCUUUUCAAUUCCACCCUCCAAUAGAAAAUUUAUAGUUUUCCUUUAAAUUAUUUUUUAUUUUAUUUUUAUUCUUUUAAUUACUAUUUUUUUCUCUUAAUAUUUUUUUAAAAGUUAUCCUGCAAUUUUUUUUAAAGUUAAGUAAUGCUUUUAUUAAUCAUUGAAGUUACCUUUUGAAUUCAUUAAAUUGAUUGAUUCAUAC